UAGACACGGGGUUUCACCAUGUUGGCCAGGCCGGUCUUGAACUUGUGACGUCAGGUGAUGCACCCGCCUUGGCCUCCCAAAGUGCUGGGAUUACAGGUCCAGAUUUUGAACAAAUCUCGCUAGAGAUUGAACAGAGCUGCGCCUGGAUCCCGCCACAGUGAGGAGACCUGAAGACCAGAGAAAACACAGCAAGCCCCUGGAUCCUCCUGGAAUCCCCGAUCCCUCUUGCUCCCUGGCAGAGUUUUCUAGUCCCUCUUACUUGAAGCAUGUCUUUCAGAGCCCGGCACCACCCAUCUUGAGUAUCUGCUACACCUCUAUGGUAUUUUUUUCACCUCAUAUCAUACCUUCCUCCCUCACUGGACUUCAGUGUGGGACCUGCAGGUCUCAGGCCUUCUGGGAAGUCCCAGCUUUUCUUGAAUGUUUUCUCUCUCUGGCCAGCUCAGGCUGGAGCAGUGGGUGUUGGUGCCAUCCUGUG
rnacentral:lncRNA from 1 species